rnacentral:lncRNA from 1 species
AUCAAUUUUUUUACAGCACUAGUAAAAGAUAAUAUUUCUCCUUAAUAAUUUUCAAACAUCCCUUCAAAUAUUUUCAAACCUCUAGACUUCGCAAAUAAAAUUUAGAGUUUAAAAAAUAUUUUGAUUGUGAAGCCAUUUCUCAGGGUCAUCUAUCUUAGGCCUACUCUACCUCUGAUACGUCUCUUGAGUUUAGCCACUGUCCAAAAUAUUAUAACGGGAUUAAAAGUUUUAAUCCUAUUAUAUCUUAUAUGUAAAACUAUCUGAUAUAUCACAUUUUCUCCUGCUUUAAGUCCUAACAUUCUUGUCAGGUUUAGACUCAUAAGUAUCAUGCGAUGUGAGACUUGUCUCGCUAGUCUUAACCAAGCUCGCAUCUCCGUAAGACUCGUCCCGUUAGCCUUAACCGACCUUGUGGUAGAGCUGCGCUCUAUCCACAACAGUCAUUAAUAUGAGAGACUCGCUCUUCCCGCUUUAUAAUUAUGAUUCAAAUGAGACUCAACUCACAUUUUUAGUAUAAUUUUGACUCAGCUGAGACUCAUCUCAUAUUUUCAGUAUAAUUCUGACUCAGCCGAUACUCAAAUUACAUUUUCGACUGAUAACUAGCUCUGAUAUCAAUUAUAAUACCCCACUUCUCAAGGGCCACCUAUUUUAUGACUAUUCUAACUCUAGCACGCCUAACUCUCUUAAUUAUUUGGAUCUAAUCAUCGUCUAAAAUACUAUAAUCAGGUUAAAAAUUUUAGCUCUAUUAUAUCUUAUAUAUAGAAUAUAAGGUCUCACAUAAAUGAUUUUAAAAUAAAUUUAAAAAUUUUGAACAAUAGUAAAGGGUAAAUAAGGAAAAGGACAUAAAAUCAUGUCUGGGCUCCUUAUUACUUUGUGCAAGCGUGUUUUGUGGGCAAAAAUUGCAUGGACAUAGUGUCCAAAUUAGCAUCUUUGGGGACGCUCUUGUUGGGCACCACGUGGCUCGCAGACACCCAUCCCACCGUCCCUCUUCCUUCCUCUACUUCUUUCUCUCUAAAAAAAUCAUUUUUUUUAAAAAAAAAGGGACGGUGAGAUGGAUGCUUGCGAGCCACGUGGCGCCUAUUCGAAACAUCCCAAAAAAUGUUAAUGUGGACACUAUAUCCACACAAUUUUUGCCCGCUUCAAAGCAUGGGUCAAAAUAUUAAAUUGACUCAAAGAGAGAGAGAGAGAGAGAGAGAGAGAGAUACAUCACACAUUCACAUGCAGAAAAAUAUAAAAGAAAAACUUCAAAUAUCACUCCUGUAAUUUCGUAUUUACUUACUUAGUAUCUUGUAAUUUAAAGUGUAUCAAGUUAGUGUUAUAUGAUUUCAUUUUUCUCUUUUUAUUAUCCAUUUCACUAAUUUUUUUUCAUUAAACCAGUAACAAAAUUAAAACUAAAGGAUACUAAAAUGAAUAUCGAUAAAGCUAGGUGGAGUAUCCGAAGUUUUUUUUGCAUAUAAUUUAACAAACUAUUAACGGAGGAACUGACGAAAAGAAAAAAAUAAAAUUAGAUGACACUAACUUGAUACACUUUAAACCAUAUGAUACUAAAAUGAGAAAGUGCAAAACUACAGAGGUGAUAUUUAAAAUUUACCCGAAUAUAAAUAUAUUAUUUAAAAUGCAGUUGUUAGUAAAAAGCAAAAUUUGUGGUGGUACUAUUGCAGAUCAAAAGGCUGAACAUGGAAAAGUAUGCAGUAUUCAUAUGCUUCUCAGAUCAGUAAGAUAAAUUUUGGGAGAGUUGGAAGAGAAUAAGAUAAAUUUUGUGUUGUAGUACCUACAAGACGGAUUCGGCUUUCAGCGUGAUCAAAGGCAAAUAGAUCAAAUGUGAAAAUAUGCUUACAUGCUUUUCAAUGGAACUACAAAAAUCAUAUCAUAUCUUUAAAACUGAAUUAGCCUAGAUGUUAUGUAAACUGAACUAUCCUUAACUAACAGGAAAGAUACAUGAAUCAAGCUCAGAACCUCUUAAAACAGAAGGGAAUGAAGAAUGACUCAGAAUACUGUAUUAUCCACCAAAUUAAUAUAUAUAUAUAUAUAUAUAUAUAUAUAUAUAUAUAUAUAUAUAUAUAUAUAUAUAUAUACAUAAUUUAUUUUUAUUUAUUUAUACAAUAUAUAAAAUAUUUAAUAAUUUUUAUUUCAUAGAUCUUCAUCCAACGGUAUAGAUUUUUAAAACCCGCUGGGUUCAGGUUCGGGUUUCGAGUUUUUGGUCGGAUAUGGAUAUGGGUAUGAAUUUUUAAAAUCCGUCGGGUUCGGUUCCGGGUUUGAAUUUUAAUUUGAUUUUCGGGUUCGGGUACGGAUUUUUGAAAAAGAGAAGAAAAGGAAUACAAAUUUCCUAUUCCUCUUUUCAAUAUACAAAAAAUACGUAUUAAACACGGUGAACCAUUCACCGUGUUUAGACACGGUGAAUGGUUCACCAUGUUUAACUUUACUACCGCCCCCAGCCCUACUCGCGUGGUGCUGACGUGGCGCCUGCGUCGCAGGUCUAUGGCCAUUUUUGCAAAUUAAAUUUUGACAGGGCUAUUUUUAAAAUAAAAAUUUGCUAAGGGGCUAAAUGCAAAAAAAGCCCGCUAUUCCUGCUGUCUCCUUUGGAAUCAUUGGUGUGCAAUAAAUUCCUACUGUAAUUACCAUUUUACCGUUUGGCUUAGGUUUUGAAAAAAAAAGUUCUGCAGUAGAGUUAAUUUUGAUUUAGAGAACUCAUUUUGAUUAAAAUCUAUCAAGCGUUUGAUUGAAUUUAAAUAAAAGUAAUUUUUCUGAAGUGAUUUCGUAAAACUGUUUGGUAAAAUAUUUUUAAUAUUUACAAAUAAUAAUUUUUUACUAAAUUUUAUUUUAAAAUAAUUUAAAUUUUGAAUUUAGAUUUAAAUUUUAGAUUUAAAAAUUUUAAAUUUGCCAAAAAUUUAAAAAAUUUUGAUAUUUUAAUUAAAAAUAUAAGUUUGAAAUUUAAAAUUUUUAAAUUUAAAAUUUGAAUUCUUAAAUUCAAAUUUUAAAACUUAAAUUUAAAUCAAAAUGUAAAAUAUAAGAUUUAAAACAUAAAAUUUGAGAAAUUAAAAUUUAAAAUUUAAAAAAUUUAAAACUUAAAAUUCAAAAUUUAAAAGUCGAAAUUAAAAUUUAAAAUUUGAAUCUAAAAUCCAAAUAAAAAUUUAAAAUUUUGAGUUCAAAAUCAGAAUCAGAUUUCAAGAAGCAAGUUUUAGCUGCUUCUGAUUUUGGGUUUCGAAAAUUAGAAAAUUGAUUGUAAAAAUCAAAAUCAAUUUUUAAAAAUAAGAUUACCAAACGCUCUAUUAACUCAAAAAUCACUUCUGAACCCAAAAUCACUUUUCAGAAGUUAGGCCAAAUACCCACUAUAGUUGAUUCCAAUAUAUGUACUUCUAAAUAAGAUUAAGUAUAUGUGGCAAUUGAUCUGUACAUAAAGUAGUGAUUUAUACAUUGGUUCUUAGCAUUAGUCUGAUAUUCAUCCUACGUGACAUAUUUACCUUCUCAUUAAUUUGUCAACGCAGAGGAUUGGAACUCAAAACCCUUGUAUUAUAAUAGAAGUAUUUAAAAUUAACUCAAGUACUAUAUUAUUUAUAAAAUUGAUCAAAUAAAAAACUGACAAAAAAAUAUAGUUAACACCCGAAACACACAAACCAAAUAGAUUAUCUAUCAAUUUUUUUACAGCACUAGUAAAAGAUAAUAUUUCUCCUUAAUAAUUUUCAAACAUCCCUUCAAAUAUUUUCAAACCUCUAGACUUCGCAAAUAAAAUUUAGAGUUUAAAAAAUAUUUUGAUUGUGAAGCCAUUUCUCAGGGUCAUCUAUCUUAGGCCUACUCUACCUCUGAUACGUCUCUUGAGUUUAGCCACUGUCCAAAAUAUUAUAACGGGAUUAAAAGUUUUAAUCCUAUUAUAUCUUAUAUGUAAAACUAUCUGAUAUAUCACAUUUUCUCCUGCUUUAAGUCCUAACAUUCUUGUCAGGUUUAGACUCAUAAGUAUCAUGCGAUGUGAGACUUGUCUCGCUAGUCUUAACCAAGCUCGCAUCUCCGUAAGACUCGUCCCGUUAGCCUUAACCGACCUUGUGGUAGAGCUGCGCUCUAUCCACAACAGUCAUUAAUAUGAGAGACUCGCUCUUCCCGCUUUAUAAUUAUGAUUCAAAUGAGACUCAACUCACAUUUUUAGUAUAAUUUUGACUCAGCUGAGACUCAUCUCAUAUUUUCAGUAUAAUUCUGACUCAGCCGAUACUCAAAUUACAUUUUCGACUGAUAACUAGCUCUGAUAUCAAUUAUAAUACCCCACUUCUCAAGGGCCACCUAUUUUAUGACUAUUCUAACUCUAGCACGCCUAACUCUCUUAAUUAUUUGGAUCUAAUCAUCGUCUAAAAUACUAUAAUCAGGUUAAAAAUUUUAGCUCUAUUAUAUCUUAUAUAUAGAAUAUAAGGUCUCACAUAAAUGAUUUUAAAAUAAAUUU